GCUAAUACCGGAUAACAUGUUGAACCGCAUGGUUCAACAGUGAAAGACGGUCUUGCUGUCACUUAUAGAUGGAUCCGCGCCGCAUUAGCUAGUUGGUAAGGUAACGGCUUACCAAGGCAACGAUGCGUAGCCGACCUGAGAGGGUGAUCGGCCACACUGGAACUGAGACGCGGUACAG
rnacentral:rRNA from 1 species